GUGCUCACCUCAGCAGCACAUAUAAUAAAAUUGGAAUGAUACAGAGAAGGUUAGCAUGGCCCCUGCACAAAGAUGACAUGCAAAUUUGUGACGUGUUCCAUAUUUUU
rnacentral:snRNA from 1 species